rnacentral:rRNA from 1 species
UGGACGAAAGUCUGACGGAGCAACGCCGCGUGAGUGAAGAAGGCCUUCGGGUCGUAAAGCUCUGUCGUUUGGGACGAACGUAUCAUGUGUGAAUAAUGCAUGGUAAUGACGGUACCAAAGGAGGAAGCCACGGCUAACUACGUGCCAGCAGCCGCGGUAAUACGUAGGUGGCAAGCGUUGUCCGGAAUUAUUGGGCGUAAAGGGCGUGUAGGUGGCCUGUUAAGUCGUGUGUCUAAGUGCGAAGCUCAACUUCGUAUGGGCGCAGGAAACUGACAGGCUUGAGUGCAGGAGAGGAAAGUGGAAUUCCCAGUGUAGCGGUGAAAUGCGUAGAUAUUGGGAGGAACACCAGUGGCGAAGGCGACUUUCUGGACUGUGUCUGACACUGAGGCGCGAAAGCCAGGGGAGCGAACGGGAUUAGAUACCCCGGUAGUCCUGGCCGUAAACGAUGGGUACUAGGUGUAGAGGGUAUCGACCCCUUCUGUGCCGGAGUUAACGCAAUAAGUACCCCGCCUGGGGAGUACG